CAGAAGCAGAAGUUCGAGAAAAGCUCACAUGUGAUGUUCAUCUGUUGUCUGCAUUUCCACGUUUCUCUGCAUGUUUCACACCUUUCAAACUGUCUCUUGACACGAAGCGUUUCUCACAAGCAGCGAGUCAGAGAGUCAGAGAGGACGUGAGGACGUGAGGAUGGGACACACUUUGUUUGCUGUGUGGGGGCUUUUCUUGCUGAAUAUUCUCCUCCACUGUGGACACGCUCAAGAUGUUUUGCUGCAUUUUGAGCCAAACUGGUCCCCUUUAUUUACUGGAGAGAAAGUUACCUUCAUAUGUGACUCAAGGAAAGGAAACAAUGCUGAAUGGAAUUAUGGAUUCAGUAGGAAUGGUCAU